rnacentral:rRNA from 1 species
GACGAACGCUGGCGGCGCGCCUAACACAUGCAAGUCGAACGGAGUCAAGAGGAGCUUGCUUUUCUUGACUUAGUGGCGAACGGGUGAGUAACGCGUGAGUAACCUGCCCUGGAGUGGGGGACAACAGUUGGAAACGACUGCUAAUACCGCAUAAGCCCACGGAUCUGCAUGGAUCUGCGGGAAAAGGAUUUAUUCGCUCUAGGAUGGACUCGCGUCCAAUUAGCUAGUUGGUGAGGUAACGGCCCACCAAGGCGACGAUUGGUAGCCGGACUGAGAGGUUGAGCGGCCACAUUGGGACUGAGACACGGCCCAGACUCCUACGGGAGGCAGCAGUGGGGGAUAUUGCACAAUGGGGGAAACCCUGAUGCAGCGACGCCGCGUGGAGGAAGAAGGUUUUCGGAUUGUAAACUCCUGUCGUUAGGGACGAUAAUGACGGUACCUAACAAGAAAGCACCGGCUAACUACGUG